rfam:Triticum aestivum genome assembly, contig: Triticum_aestivum_CS42_TGACv1_scaffold_130080_2BL
AUUAUACUCCCUCCGUUCCGAAAUACUUGUCAGAUAAAUGUAUAAAAACGGAUGCAUAUAAAAUUAAAAUAUGUCUAGAUACAUUCAUGUCUCCGAUAAGUAUUACCGGAGGGAGGGAGUAUUUA